GGGCGAGUAGCGAAGUGGUUAAACGCAGCAGACUGUAAAUCUGCUCCUUCGGGUUCGGUGGUUCAAAUCCACCCUCUCCCA
rnacentral:tRNA from 1 species